rnacentral:rRNA from 1 species
UAGGGAAUCUUCCGCAAUGGGCGAAAGCCUGACGGAGCAACGCCGCGUGAGUGAUGAAGGUCUUCGGAUCGUAAAACUCUGUUAUUAGGGAAGAACAAAUGUGUAAGUAACUAUGCACGUCUUGACGGUACCUAAUCAGAAAGCCACGGCUAACUACGUGCCAGCAGCCGCGGUAAUACGUAGGUGGCAAGCGUUAUCCGGAAUUAUUGGGCGUAAAGCGCGCGUAGGCGGUUUUUUAAGUCUGAUGUGAAAGCCCACGGCUCAACCGUGGAGGGUCAUCGGAAACUGGAAAACUUGAGUGCAGAAGAGGAAAGUGGAAUUCCAUGUGUAGCGGUGAAAUGCGCAGAGAUAUGGAGGAACACCAGUGGCGAUGGCGACUUUCUGGUCUGUAACUGACGCUGAUGUGCGAAAGCGUGGGGAUCAAACAGG